CUUUUCGAACCUGAGUUGAGAAGAAACUACUUUCUGUCUGCGUUUUUUCUGGCUAGCUAAACAAGACGUUGUUCUCUAUAGACAAUGGCAGUCUGAAGGAAGAUAUCAGAUAGAAGGAAUGACACCAGCUGCUACCAGCCUUGCAAUGAAGACAUCCAGAGUUUGUACACACCCAUCUGUGCUGAGGCUUCCCCCUCCUUGUGACUGAAGCAAGAGGGAUUUCUCACCAGAAGCAGCAGUGAAGGGUUACCCAAGUCUGAAGAGUUCUACUCUGACAUGG